CGACCCCAGGUCAGGCGGGAUUCACCCG
rnacentral:rRNA from 5 species